ACUGUCUGAAAACGAGCCAAUAACAAACCGUCACCCGUCACCGUCAUUGGUCACAUCAUGUCAAAUCCCAAAGAAACCAAUCAAAACCGCGGGUUUGAUGUUGCUCUCCUGUCACAUUUUCGAGUUUUGAGUUGCAGUGUCGCGUGGUGAACGACAGUAAAAUUGGCGGGGAAAACAUGACAAGUAUUCAGACCUUGAUGACCGUGAAAACAACUAGUGAAAACUACUAAACAGCUAAGGAACACAAGGAAAUCUUGUUAAGAGGUUUAAUACUUGGAAACAAUGUUAAUGGUGACUACAGACUAGAAAGAGAAAACGGAGUAAGCUUACACUUACGGCAGCUGUUCAAAGGGAUGAGGUUCAGAAGAAGGAGUUUGUCAAAAUUGCAGGGCAAGCAUAACCCAAAAAAACUGAAGACAAAAGCUUUUUGAUUUUUGGUAAAGAAGCGAUGAAUACCAACAAAGAAAGUGAAAGUGAAUUCUACUACCCCAGAGGCAAAAUUUGCAAGCAAAAGUCAAAACAACAAGAACAACAACAAAAGUGACCUUUCAUGACUAUAAAGAGAAGAUGCCUAACAACCAGUAGGAACUGAAAAUAUCAAUACAAGGGCAGAAGAGCAGGAAGGACAA